AGAUACAGAAGGAAAGUAAAGCUAGAGGAUGCAAGCUACGUCUCAGCCAGUUUGAGGAAAGAGAGGACCUGGUGACACAGACUGCACCAAAAUAGCAGAAGGAAAAGAAGGAAGAGGCAAUGUCACACUUCUGCUAAGAAGAGAGUUAUGGCAAGUACAAGUUGCUGAGAAAGAAGCAAACUGCUCAUUUGGAUGAAGGAAAUUAAUUCUUUGAAGCCA
rnacentral:lncRNA from 1 species